GGUUAAGCUAAUAAGAGCGCAGGGAGAAUGCCUUGGCAUCAGGAGCCGAUGAAGGACGUGGUAAGCUGCGAAAAGCUGCGGGGAUCAGCAAGCAUGAAUUGAUCCGCAGAUAUCCGAAUGGAGCAAUCCGCAUGGGUGAAGCUCAUGCAUCAUACAGUGAAUACAUAGCUGUAUGAGGGGAACCGCCUGAACUGAAACAUCUAAGUAGGGCGAGGAAAAGAAAUCAACCGAGAUUCUGUGAGUAGUGGCGAGCGAAAGCGGAAGAGGCUAAACCAAGAGUAGCAAUACUUUUGGGGUUUUGGACAGCAUUUAGCAUCAAUGAGUCUUAGCUGAAAUGUAUGGGAAGACAUACCAAAGAAUGUGAGAGUCAUGUAAGCGACAAGAUGAAUUGGCGAGCUGUAUCCGGAGUACCGCGGGACACGUGAAACCCCGUGGGAAAACAGGGGGACCACCCUCUAAGCCUAAAUACUACCUGAUGACCGAUAGCGAAUAGUACUGUGAAGGAACGGUGAAAAGAACCCCGGGAGGGGAGUGAAAUAGAACCUGAAACCCUGUGCUUACAAGCACCGAGAGCACGUCAAAGUGUGAUCGGGUACCUAUUGUAGAAUGGUCCGGCGAGUUAUUGUAUGCGGCGAGGUUAAGUACUUAAGGUACGGAGCCGAAGCGAGAGCGAGUCUGAAUAGGGCGUAUAGUCGUAUGCAAUAGACCCGAAACCGAGUGACCUACCCAUGUCCAGGCUGAAGUGGCGGUAAAACGCUAUGGAGGGCCGAACGCACGUUCGUUGAAAAGACCGGCGAUGAGGUGUGGGUAGCGGAGAAAUUCCAAUCGAACUCGGAUAUAGCUGGUUCUCUCCGAAAUAGCUUUAGGGCUAGCCUCACUUUAGAUUACCGGAUGUAAAGCACUGAAUAGGCUAGGGGUCGAGAGAUUACCGAACCUUAUCAAACUAAGAAGGCCGGAUAAUUGAUGAGUGGGAGUCAGACAGCGUGAGAUAAGUUUCGUUGUCAAAAGGGAAAGAGCCCAGAUCUACAGCUAAGGUCCCUAAAUACGUUUAAGUGGAAAAGGAUGUGGAGUUGCAUAAACAACCAGGAUGUUGGCUUAGAAGCAGCCAUACAUUAAAAGAGUGCGUAAUAGCUCACUGGUCGAGUGACUCUGCGCCGAAAAUUCAACGGGGCUAAAACGUAUACCGAAGCUUAGGACUGAUGGUAACAUUAGUGGUAGGAGAGCGUUCAAUGCGGGGUGAAGUCAGAGCGGAAGCGCUGGUGGACUGCAUUGAAGUGAGAAUGCCGGAAUGAGUAGCGAGAAUUAUGUGAGAAUCAUAAUGGCCGAAAAUCUAAGGUUUCCGGAGGAAGGUUCGUCCGCUCCGGGUAAGCCGGGAGCUAAGGUGAGGCUUAAAUGCGUAGCCGAUGCACAUACGGUUGAGAUUCCGUAGCCGCCGAAACUUAAGCGCAGGGACGCUCAUGAAGUGAAUAAGCCGGGGGAUGGUUCACCCGGUCGUAAGGGACCGAAAGUUAGUAGGGAAGUAUUUAUGGAGUGAGACAAGAAAAGCUGCGCGGUAUGCUAAGGCGCCCGUACCGCAAACCGACACAGGUGGAUAGGAAGAGGAUUCUAAGGCCAACGGGAGAAGGGUUGUUAAGGAACUCGGCAAGUUGACCCCGUAACUUCGGAAUAAGGGGUGCCUGAGAAAUCAGGUCGCAGAGAAUAGGCCCAGGCAACUGUUUAUCAAAAACACAGGUCUCUGCUAAAUCGAAAGAUGACGUAUAGGGGCUGACGCCUGCCCGGUGCCGGAAGGUUAAGAGGAGAUGUGAGAGCAUUGAAUUGAAGCCCCGGUAAACGGCGGCCGUAACUAUAACGGUCCUAAGGUAGCGAAAUUCCUUGUCAGGUAAGUUCUGACCCGCACGAAUGGCGUAAUGAUCUGGGCACUGUCUCAACAACCCGCCCGGCGAAAUUGUAGUACCGGUGAAGAUGCCGGUUACCCGCGACUAGACGGAAAGACCCCAUGGAGCUUUACUGUAGCCUAAUAUUGGAUUUCGGUAUU
rfam:Ruminococcus sp. YE71 genome assembly, contig: IE40DRAFT_scaffold00043.43